GUGCUCACUGUGGCAGCACAUAUACUAAAAAAUUGGAACGAUACAGAGAUUAGAAUGGCCCCUGUGCAAGAAUUACACAUAAAUUCAUGAAGCUCUCCAUAUUAAA